rnacentral:rRNA from 1 species
CCUACGGGUGGCAGCAGUGAGGAAUAUUGGUCAAUGGACGAGAGUCUGAACCAGCCAAGUAGCGUGAAGGAUGACUGCCCUAUGGGUUGUAAACUUCUUUUAUAUGGGAAUAAAAUGUUCCACGUGUGGGAUUUUGUAUGUACCAUAUGAAUAAGGAUCGGCUAACUCCGUGCCAGCAGCCGCGGUAAUACGGAGGAUCCGAGCGUUAUCCGGAUUUAUUGGGUUUAAAGGGAGCGUAGGUGGAUUGUUAAGUCAGUUGUGAAAGUUUGCGGCUCAACCGUAAAAUUGCAGUUGAAACUGGCAGUCUUGAGUACAGUAGAGGUGGGCGGAAGUCGUGGGGUAGCGGUGAAAUGCUUAGAUAUCACGAAGAACUCCGAUUGCGAAGGCAGUUCACUGGACUGCAACUGACACUGAGGCUCGAAAGUGUGGGUAUCAAACAGGAUUAGAUACCCUAGUAGUC